rnacentral:rRNA from 1 species
GAUGAACGCUGGCGGCGUGCCUAAUACAUGCAAGUCGAGCGAACAGAUGAGGAGCUUGCUCCUCUGACGUUAGCGGCGGACGGGUGAGUAACACGUGGAUAACCUACCUAUAAGGCUGGGAUAACUUCGGGAAACCGGAGCUAAUACCGGAUAAUAUAUUGAACCGCAUGGUUCAAUAGUGAAAGACAGUUUUGCUGUCACUUAUAGAUGGAUCCGCGCCGCAUUAGCUAGUUGGUAAGGUAACGGCUUACCAAGGCAACGAUGCGUAGCCGACCUGAGAGGGUGAUCGGCCACACUGGAACUGAGACACGGUCCAGACUCCUACGGGAGGCAGCAGUAGGGAAUCUUCCGCAAUGGGCGAAAGCCUGACGGAGCAACGCCGCGUGAGUGAUGAAGGUCUUCGGAUCGUAAAACUCUGUUAUUGGGGAAGAACAAAUGUGUAAGUAACUAUGCACGUCUUGACGGUACCUAAUCAGAAAGCCACGGCUAACUACGUG